AACGAACGCUGACGGCAGGCUUAACACAUGCAAGUCGAACGCCCCGCAAGGGGAGUGGCAGACGGGUGAGUAACGCGUGGGAAUCUACCUAGUUCUACGGAACAACAGAGGGAAACUUCUGCUAAUACCGUAUACGCCCUAUGGGGGAAAGAUUUAUCGGAAUUAGAUGAGCCCGCGUAAGAUUAGCUAGUUGGUGAGGUAAUGGCUCACCAAGGCGACGAUCUUUAGCUGGUCUGAGAGGAUGAUCAGCCACACUGGGACUGAGACACGGUCCAGACUCCUACGGGAGGCAGCAGUGGGGAAUAUUGGACAAUGGGCGCAAGCCUGAUCCAGCCAUGCCGCGUGAGUGAUGAAGGCCUUAGGGUUGUAAAGCUCUUUCAGUGGGGAAGAUAAUGACGGUACCCACAGAAGAAGCCCCGGCUAACUUCGUGCCAGCCGCCGCGGUAA
rnacentral:rRNA from 1 species